GAGGUAUAGCUCAGUUGGUUAGAGUGCUUGCUUGACAUGCAAGAGGUCACUGGUUCGAACCCAGUUAUCUCC
rnacentral:tRNA from 1 species